CAUGCAGGCAGAUGCAGGGGCAGAUGUAGUUUGUAGGCACCUGUCGGGCCGUAACUUCCGAAGGAAACAAAGCAGCCAAUUCAAGGAAACGUUUAAGGCAGCAGGACAGGGGGAACUGCAAAAUUCGUAUGUAAUACCUCUGCUUAUGUUUGGAUCCCUGUUUUUUUGGGUGAGCAACAAAAAUUUUGAAAGACACCGCAGCUACUCCUAUUAAAUUCAUCCAGCAACGAGAGGAUGGAUCCUUAACAUCUGCCUAUUUAAGUGUGCCAAAUUGCGUGGGAGCUUAAGAGCUACAUAGAACGAGUUGAACAUGUCAAAGGUAAGGGCUGGUGAGAACCAUGUUGAUGUUUCCGAGGGUAAAAAAAUGGGCGAUUUGUGACGUUCCCUUCUAAAGGUUUUAUGGAUCUUUCUGGUCUCACCUAAACCGGUAAGCAGCGCACCCGUUUUGGAGGUUGAGGCAAUACCGGCAUUCGCGCUUGCUUUCUACCCAAGAUUAUCACGUUGUCUAAAAACAUUCGCAAUUUCAAAAAUCUCAAUUUCCUCGUUGCGCUAGUAAUCGUCAACAAGUUCAAGAAGUUUAACGGCCAAACACCUUAACAUUUCACCGUGUCACUGGUUGAAAACAUCCUAACUCUGCAAAGGUUUGAAUUUGAAGUCAGUGAAGAAGAGGCUCCACCAUGGGAAGAAUAUCUACAUGUAUCGGGAACGCGCGUCAUUUCUACUACUGCAAGUACGAUGCAUCCGACACAUUGCUUCUUGCGUUACAGCGUGCAGUUUUCUACAUCAGUUACUCAAGACAAACUUAUUUAAGGAACAUUUCACUGAGGUAUGAUACGCCUCGCUCCAUCUCUGCCGAUCUUUUGACCAACACCAUUGUUGAAUUGUACCUCGUCCUCCUGUCGCAAGAAUGCUUCACUCAGGAUAUUCAGCCACUCGGGAGAUGACCCAUUGGGUCCGAAGCAUCGGCAUAGCGUCUGUGGAAUCAAGAAGCGCCACAUUAGUUCCGGAGUCGCUUAGUCAAUUAUGAAGAACGAAAUUUAACAAGUGAAAAAACCUUUCUUUCCCCAGAAGUACGUCAUAGCUAACAAGUCUUUUACGGAAAAGAACAAUUUAUCUGCGACUCGUUCUGUUCGACGAUAUCAUGAAUCAUGUCCCCUGAAUUGAUCGAAUUUUCCACCAUAAUCAAGUAUGGGUCAUCUAUUAGUGAUGGUAGUUUCCGGAGCUGACAAGGCGACGUUAUUACGUUUCGUUGCCUGGAUGAAUGGACUCGUUAUUGCAAGACUUCACAUCAUACUUUGUUGCCGAUUUUGACCAGAGCUUCGUUAACUGCUUCGUAGAACCGAACUCAAAGGUGAAGAGAUCUGUUUAAUAUUGAACGAGUCCAACGUAGUUUCCCCAAAAGAAUGUACUGUCAAACGCCAGGGAGAGGUUCCUGGAUUGUCUAAACGAGACUCGCGACUUUUCAUCAACCCGUUUUCGGAAGAGUUGAACGAUCGCGCUUCUACGUUCCCAGCCUUUCUCGAGUUGCGAGUUCAAAAGAGAAUCCUCGAUAUUCGAAUAUGGUGAGUCUUCGGAUUCCAAAUCCCGAUCCGCUGCGUAGCCCGAUGUCCAUCUCUCAUACGAACAACAGGAUCAGUGACAACGGCCCCUUCAAAUGCUGUGCCACGAGCCGAAGUCUACCUGUCUGGCCUCAUGAUACACAAGAUUUUUUGAUAAGA